GAUGAACGCUGACAGAAUGCUUAACACAUCAGCAAUGGAUUGGUGGCGGACGGGUGAGUAACGCGUAAAGAACUUACCUCACAGUUAGGGACAACAUUUGGAAACGAAUGCUAAUACAUAAUACUGUGAGAGAGCUUUGCGUCCCCUUAGCUAGUUGGAGAGGUAACGGCUCACCAAGGCGAUGAUGGGUAGCCGGCCUGAGAGGGUGAUCGGCCACAAGGGGUCUGGGACACGGCCCUUACUCAUUCGGGAGGCAGCGGUGGGGAAUAUUGGACAAUAGACCAAUGUCUGAUCCAGCAAUUCUGUUUGCACGAUGAAGUUUUCGGAAUGUAAAGUGCUUUCAGUUGGGAAGCGGUACCAACAGAAGAAGUGACGGCUAAAUACGUGCCAGCAGCCGCGGUAAUUC
rnacentral:rRNA from 1 species